rnacentral:rRNA from 1 species
ACUGCUCAGUAACACGUGGAUAACCUGCCCUUGGGUCCGGCAUAACCCCGGGAAACUGGGGAUAAUUCCGGAUAACGCACAUAUGCUGGAAUGCUUUAUGCGUAAAAUGGAUUCGUCUGCCCAAGGAUGGGUCUGCGGCCUAUCAGGUAGUAGUGGGUGUAAUGUACCUACUAGCCAACAACGGGUACGGGUUGUGAGAGCAAGAGCCCGGAGAUGGAUUCUGAGACAUGAAUCCAGGCCCUACGGGGCGCAGCAGGCGCGAAAACUUUACAAUGCGGGAAACCGUGAUAAGGGGACACCGAGUGCCAGCAUCAUAUGCUGGCUGUCCAGGUGUGUAAAAUACACCUGUUAGCAAGGGCCGGGCAAGACCGGUGCCAGCCGCCGCGGUAACACCGGCGGCCCGAGUGGUGAUCGUGAUUAUUGGGUCUAAAGGGUCCGUAGCCGGUUUGGUCAGUCCUCCGGGAAAUCUGACGGCUUAACCGUUAGGCUUUCGGGGGAUACUGCCAGGCUUGGAACCGGGAGAGGUAAGAGGUACUACAGGGGUAGGAGUGAAAUCUUGUAAUCCCUGUGGGACCACCUGUGGCGAAGGCGUCUUACCAGAACGGGUUCGACGGUGAGGGACGAAAGCUGGGGGCACGAACCGGAUUAGAUACCCGGGUAGUCCCAGCCGUAAACGAUGCUCGCUAGGUGUUGGGGGUCCUUAGUGGGCGCCCAGUGCCGGAGAGAAGUUGUUAAGCCUGCUGCUUGGGGGGUAUGUCCGCAAGGAUGAAACUUAAAGGAAUUGGCGGGGGAGCAC